GGGCAGUGAACAGGGCUAGUUCCGACCGGAACCGGCUCUGAGGACAGCAAAAUGCAGGACUGGGUGCAGAGGCUCGUCUUGGAUCCAAAUCAACCCAACUACCUGGAAUUUGGAUAAAGGAAGACUAGCUUGGAUACUGGGAGUCUCAGCCUCAGAAGCUGAGAUGCAUGGUGAUGGAGGAUUCCCUGCAGCCAUCCAACUGCUGCUUCCCUCUGGGACAGUCCUUUCUGCUCUGUGGCCUACAGUUCUGACCUCAGGAGGAAGAUGAACAUGCAGAAGGGGAGAAGAUCGGCUGGGAGGAGGCUCUACCUAUGAGUCAGGCAUAGCCUCAGGCCACCACAUCCAGGCUACUCUGCCUUGAACUCUACAAGGGUUGGGGAAGGACCAAUGACCAGAGCUCAGUCCUGUGGCAUCCAUUCAACUACAAGGAGGCUUGGAAGUGGAGUUCAAAUUUAGUAGGUCACAUGCCCAGAAGAGAUCCACAGAUAUUGGUGAGUAUUAAUGGUCUCUGCUACAGACAGGGACAGUUGCUGUCAUGUAGGGGAUGCAGGGAUAUCUACCCUGGGAUGGGAUAGGUGUGUGCUCUUAGGAAAGGAAGUUGAUGUGAGAAGACUCGUAUGUGUGAUAGCUCCACAGUCCAUUCUUUCCCAUUCCCAUGGUCUCUCUCCAGAUAAGAUCUUAAUUAUCCCAAAUGGCCUUAUAAAGGCUCUCUCCUCUAUAAUCUUCUUUUCCCAUCAAA